rnacentral:rRNA from 1 species
GAUGAACGCUGGCGGCGUGCCUAAUACAUGCAAGUCGAGCGAAUGGAUUAAGAGCUUGCUCUUAUGAAGUUAGCGGCGGACGGGUGAGUAACACGUGGGUAACCUGCCCAUAAGACUGGGAUAACUCCGGGAAACCGGGGCUAAUACCGGAUAACAUUUUGAGCCGCAUGGUUCGAAAUUGAAAGGCGGCUUCGGCUGUCACUUAUGGAUGGACCCGCGUCGCAUUAGCUAGUUGGUGAGGUAACGGCUCACCAAGUCAACGAUGCGUAGCCGAGCUGAGAGGGUGAGCGGCCACACUGAGACUGAGACACGGCCCAGACUCCUACGGGAGGCAGCAGUAGGGAAUCUUCAGCAAUGGACGGUAGUCUGACGGAGGAACGCCGCGUGAGUGAUGAAGGCUUUCGGGUCGUAAAACUCUGUUGUUAGGGAAGAACAAGUGCUAGUUGAAUAAGCUGGCACCUUGACGGUACCUAACCAGAAAGCCACGGCUAACUACGUGCCAGCAGCCGCGGUAA